UGUCUUCUGGUUAGUUAGUCCCGUUUAACUAUACUAUUAAGCCGCAUCUAACAUCCUCAUAGCAUUAUCGCAGUCAGGGAUAUCUAGGGAGAGUCAAAACCGAAAACAAGAGUUCUUGUCUGAACGUGUGCAUAGGAACACUUACCAGAAUCUGGCAGCUAGUGCUGUAAAAAGUGACAUGGCUUCUGCGUGGCUUUCCUUACCUGAUGGCUGAUGUUUUCAUUGCUGCAUUGCUGACUGACUUCAACAGGAUGCUCCAUCUGAAGAUUGGCCAGAAAAAUUGGAAAAAGUGUAACCAAUCGCCAUGUAAGUGGCUAUGAAAACAGAUGGAAAUUGGGAGAAGGAGAGAAGUAGGAACAGCUUCUUUGCCCAUACCUCUAAGCUGGAUUCUGCCUGCAAAACUUGCACUUUCUGCAACAAUUAAUGUGUGUUAAUUGUUAUAUUAGUCUAUUAACAUUUUUAAUGAAUUUUCCCACUGAUGAGUAUUGAUUUCUGUUCAUAAACUGGUCAAUUAUAUUUUCACAAAGGACAUCUUUCAGUGUGGAACUGACUGAAAUGGAUUUCAGGAGAAUAUGAGGCAAACAAAAGGUAAUUUUGCUGACCUAGCUCAUCUUGGUUCUCAAUCGGUUAGUGGUUCUCAAACUGAAAUCUACGUUUUCUUUGGGGUUUGUAGAGAUUUUCCAUAAAGUCUGUGAAAUAAUGUGAAAUGAAAGCAUGACCCACACAUGUGUACUGCAGAGUGGAUUAGUUGUCUCAGCAAGGAAGGGAGUAGAUAGGCAUAGACAAACUCUUCAUUGAGGACCAGACAUGACCCUAUCACUGAUAUAUGUGCCUAAAUACCUGUUUCCUAAAAAGCAUCAUGAAAAUACACUGCAUCAAUUUCACAUUAUGAGUAUUACAUAUUAUUAGAACUUACAUGGGGGGUAUUAAGUGAAAGGGGUCUUUCAACAAAAAAUAGCUUGUGGAUAACUGCAAUAAUUUAUUGCACUGCAUAUGGCUCUCCAGAGUAGCAAAAUAUAAUACUUGCUGCAUAUACAGUCAAAGCGU